rnacentral:lncRNA from 1 species
AACAUUUAUAGGUCUCUUAGAGUAUGGGAGAGCUAAUGAAUGGGUUGUGACUGAAAAACUUGGUGAUUCUGUCAACAGCAAUAACAAGAAUAAAUCAGGAGAUGCUGCCAAGAAGAAUGUUGCCACCAAGGCACCCAAAAAGACUCGAUCCAAAUUUGUUGAAAGGUCAGUUUCUGAGUUUUGUCCACAUCUCCAUUGUGAAUUUGUGAGUGCCAAUCAUGCACACACACACUCACUGGCAUAAUGCAGAUGGGUUUUUGACUGUGUGUGGCCAAUAAUUUAAUGAUUGCAAGGAAAUAAUUCCAUAGGUUCCUACUUAUUAGUGAAUAGUUUCUAGAUAUUCUUCAUUGUAACAGUUAAGAUUCUCUUUGGGUAGGUAAACAUUUAUAUGAAAUUUUUUUAAGUCCACUUUAGUCUUUAAAAUCAACAGCAUCAUGCCAUGCCACCCUAAUCAAAACGUUUCUGUCACAUGCACAUGAAUAUGACAGAAGAAUUUAGAAAACCACAUGCCCUUGUCAAGAUCUUAUAAAAAAACAGUUUAGGACUGCUGUUUUUCCUAUUUUUUAGGAGUUAAACAGUUUGUUUUUAAUUUGUUAAUCAUAGUCUCCUUUAAUAAACUACUUGUUGGUGGUUUUUAUAUAUGUUUUCAAAUAACAAAGACAGAUAAUCCUUUACUGUAAUGCUGUUUUGUUCUCUCUUUGCACAAAACUGCACAUACUAUCCUUUAUAUUAUCAUAGUCUAUUUACUUAGUAAUAUCAUCAAACCCAUAUCAGAAUAACAUAUAUAUUUUGAAGUUCUCAUUCUUUUUUCUUCUUCCCUUUUUCCUUUUUUCAUUGUCUGUAAUCUAUUAUUUCUAUUUAUUCUUCAUUGUAACAUAAAAGAUUCUCAAAAAAUUUCUGUCAUGCCACACUAAUCAAAACGUUUGUCACAUGCACAUGAAUAUGACAGAAGCAUUUAGAAAAUCACAUGCCCUUGUCUGGAUCUCAGAAAACCCAUACAUGAACAAAUAAUUUUAGCAUAAACUGAAAAAUAGGUAGUAAUAAAGGAGAAGUUAUGUCCCACUUUUCUACUCUAUUAUUAUUAUCUCACUUUAUUAAUGCCAAUUCAGAAUGUCUAAGGCAAAUCAUCAUACUUUACAUUAUUGAGAACUUGAGAAGUACCAAAUUAAUGUACUUAAAAGCUCUUAGAAGUUGUGAUAUUAUUAUUAGGCCUCUAAUUAUGAUUUGUUUUGUUGUUUGAACAUGAACAGACUUAACUUACUGGAGCUGGGAUUUGCUGCAUUCCUCUUUGUAUGUGGUUGCUAUGAUUUUGUGCAUGGGAAGCACAACUACUUCAUCUACCUCUUCCUUCAGACCAUAACAUUCUCAAUUGUAGGAUUUGGCUAUGUUGGCACCAUUGUGUAAAGCUCAAUGAGCCAAAUUCUGAAAAAAAAAAAAAUACUAAGUUUCAUCAAUCAAUGUUGUGUCC